UACGUAGGGUGCGAGCGUUGUCCGGAUUUAUUGGGCGUAAAGAGCUCGUAGGCGGUUCGAUAAGUCGGACGUGAAAUCUCCACGCUCAACGUGGAGGGGCCGUUCGAUACUGUCGUGACUCGAGUCCGGUAGGGGAGUGUGGAAUUCCCGGUGUAGCGGUGAAAUGCGCAGAGAUCGGGAGGAACACCCGUAGCGAAGGCGGCACUCUGGGCCGGUACUGACGCUGAGGUGCGAAAGCGUGGGGAGCAAACAGGG
rnacentral:rRNA from 1 species